GCGCUGAAAGCAUCUAAGUGCGAAGCCGCCCUCAAGAAGAGAUCUCCCACAGAGUUAAUCUGGUAAGACCCCUCAUAGAUGAUGAGGUUGAUAGGCCAGGUGUGUAAGGGCAGUAAUGCCUUUAGCUGACUGGUACUAAUAGGUCGAGGACUUGACCUAAA
rnacentral:rRNA from 1 species